rnacentral:rRNA from 1 species
CAAUAGCAUAUAUUAACGUUGUUGCAGUUGAAAAGCUCGUAGUUGAACUUUUGGUAGGAGCGACCUGGCCUUGGGCGCAUGCCCUUGUUUGCCGUGUGUCGUAUCUGGCCAUCCUUUUCUUCUUUUUGGAAGGAAUCCUUUACUGUGAGUAAACUGGAGUGCUCAAAACAAGACGUUUGUUUGGUACAUUAAAGCAUGGAAUAAUAAGAUAGGACCUGGUUACUAUUUUGUUGGUUUGCAUAGCUAGGUAAUGAUUAACAGGGACAGUUGGGGGUAUUCGUAUUUAAUUGUCAGAGGUGAAAUUCUUGGAUUUAUGAAAGACGAACGACUGCGAANGNAUUUACNAAGGAUGUUUNCAUUA